rnacentral:rRNA from 1 species
AUUGAACGCUGGCGGCAUGCUUUACACAUGCAAGUCGAACGGCAGCGCGGGCUUCGGCCUGGCGGCGAGUGGCGAACGGGUGAGUAAUGCAUCGGAACGUGCCCAGUAGUGGGGGAUAGCCCGGCGAAAGCCGGAUUAAUACCGCAUACGACCUGAGGGUGAAAGCGGGGGACCGAAAGGCCUCGCGCUAUUGGAGCGGCCGAUGUCGGAUUAGCUAGUUGGUGGGGUAAAGGCUUACCAAGGCGACGAUCCGUAGCUGGUCUGAGAGGACGACCAGCCACACGGGGCCAGGAACCCGGCCCAGCCUCCGCGGGGAGGCGGAGGGGGGGAUUUUUGGAAAAUGGGGACAACCCUGACCCGGCCUGCCGGCGGGCGGAAAGAGGCCCUCGGGGUUGAACACGGUUUUUGUGGGGAAAGAAAUCUUUUGGGCUAACCCCCGGGGGGGAGGCGGGUCCGGAAAAAAGAGGCCCGGACUACCUAGGGC